rnacentral:tRNA from 1 species
UGUCCCAUAGCUCAGUUGGUAGAGUAGCGGACUGUUAAUCCGUUCGUCCCUGGUUCGAGUCCAGGUGGGACAG